GCCUGCAUAGCUCAGCUGGUUAGAGCAUGGUGCUGAAAAUGCCAAGGUUGCAGGUUCGAUCCCCGCUGGGACA